GUGGGGUCCACGGGGGCCACCAAGGGGCCCGGGGACUGGGGGGGGUGACCAAGGGGACGUCGGGGACGCGGUGGCACCUGCUCGAGCGCCUCGGCCAGGUGGCGGUCCAGGCGCCCCUCGCGCUUGCGGAGCUUGGCGCUGUCCCACUGCAGCCCCUCCACCGUGGUGCCCAUCUCCAGCACCUUGGUCUCGGCCGACGUCGCCUUGUCCUGCAGCUCCGCCAGCUGGGGGGGGGGCGGGGACAGCGGUCACGUGACCCCCGGCGGGGUUGGUGACGUCAUCCCGUUGGGAGAUGACGUCAUCCCAUGGGGACAUCGAUGGUGUCACCCCGUGGGGACGCAACGUCAUCCCGUGGGGACGCCGGUGACGUCAUCCCGUUGGGAGGUGACGUCAUCCCAUGGGGACAUCGAUGGUGUCACCCCGUGGGGACAUCGGUGACGUCAUCCCAAUGGGAGAUGACGUCAUCCAUGGGGACACUGGUGACGUCAUCCCG
rnacentral:lncRNA from 1 species